rnacentral:lncRNA from 1 species
GGGGAGAGGAGGGGAGCUCUAGUCUAUUGGCGCAAAGAGUGUCCUUACCAAGGCUUAUUCAAUGCACUUGUAAGCAACGAAGACCGUAUCAAUUAUCACAUCAUAUAAUGUCAUUAUUCGGAUCACACUUUCCAACACACUUUGAGAGUUUGCAUGAUAUCUAUAGUUAGUGUUAUGUGCUUCAAGUAAGUAAAAGAGCUCCGAGAGAAAUGUACUAACCCCCCCGUCAUUGUUCACAGGGCCCUGUGGGUCCAUACGGGCUCCUGGGAGGGAAAGGUUCUGCUGGAGUCAUGGGCCUGGAUGGUCCACCCGGAAAACCUGGGUUCCCUGGACAGAUGGGGAAGAUCGGCGAGCGAGGAGAAUCUGGACCGAAGGGAUUUCCAGGUAUCCAGGGACCAUCAGGACCUCCUGGUGCCAAGGGCUUUGCAGGAGAGCCAGUGAGUUUCCAGACACCCAGCUGUCGGCAGGCUGGCCUCCCUCAUUGGAGGAGAUCCUGAUACUUGAGACCACCAUUGGGGAGAAUGUUCUAGAAGGCCUCCCUUCCAAACGUUCUUACCCGUUCCUCCUCGACUGUCUGGUUUUUUGGAUCUGGGCUCCCAUUGUUUCUCAUAAAAAAGCACUAACAGUAGCUCCAAAAGUCUUGCCUGCUCACAACCACCACAGACCUUUCCUUGUCGCCAGUUCCUCAGCUUGA